GUUUCGGUAGCUUAGUAGGUAGAGCGUUCGGCUGUUAACCGGAAGGUCAGGGGUUCGGGUCCCCUCCGAAACG